GGAGUUAUGGCUCAAGUGGUAGAGCGCCUGCCUGACAAGCAUGAGGCCCAGAGUUCAAUCCUCAGUACCUCCA